rnacentral:rRNA from 1 species
UGGGGAAUAUUGGACAAUGGGGGCAACCCUGAUCCAGCAAUGCCGCGUGUGUGAAGAAGGCCUGAGGGUUGUAAAGCACUUUCAGUGGGGAGGAGGAUUGACAGGUUAAGAGCUAGUUAAUUGGACGUUACCCACAGAAGAAGCACCGGCUAACUCCGUGCCAGCAGCCGCGGUAAUACGGAGGGUGCGAGCGUUAAUCGGAAUUACUGGGCGUAAAGGGUUCGUAGGUGGUUUAUUAAGUUAUCUGUGAAAUCCCUGGGCUUAACCUGGGCAGGUCAGAUAAGACUGGUAGACUCGAGUAUGGGAGAGGGUAGUGGAAUUUCCGGUGUAGCGGUGAAAUGCGUAGAGAUCGGAAGGAACACCAGUGGCGAAGGCGGCUACCUGGCCUAAUACUGACACUGAGGAACGAAAGCGUGGGGAGCAAACAGG